AGUACUCUCUGGAAGGGCCUGCAUGGCAAGGAACUGAUGUUUCCAGCCAGCAGCCAGCAAGAACUGCAAGCCUUGUGAAUGAGCUUGGAAGCAGAUCCUCCCCUCACUCAAGCCAUGAUAUGACAACAGCCUGAGACCCAGAGUUUUAUGGAUACUUCAAAAAUCAAGAAAGAAUAAGAAGAUAGUAAAGAAUGUUCCUCUCAGCCACCCUGCAUCCAUCCAUUUCCCACCCCAACCUGCAAAAGGUAACCACUGGAUGGGCCCGGUGGCUCACACCUGUAAUCCCAGCAUCUUGGGAGGCCAAGGUACAGCCAUGGCAGAAGAUGGCUGGGCACAAGGGACCAGCUGCACGCUGCUCCUGGAGUCAGCU
rnacentral:lncRNA from 10 species